CAAGUUUGAUAAAAAUCAUCAUUGUUAUCAGUGAACUUCAGUUUUUGAUGUUGUGAACUUUCUUCAAACAGGCCUAUCUUCUCACAGCAGAUAUAUGGACCUUUUUCUUCAGGUUUCACCUUACCCUAAGCCUUAAGGUGAAAGAGCCCACAUGACCAAUAAAGAGGUUAAACGGCCUUCUGGUUUCACUGAAAUUCAUGUUGGGGGAAUUCUGCUGAAGAGCAGAGAGAGAGAGAGAGACUGUGGGAGCCAACCUUGACAGCCAAACCACAAUGCCCUUACACAUUGUAACCCCACCUCUCCGGGGUGUACUCUUCUAAGAAUGACAACGGCUAUCUGCUGAUACCCCCUCAACGCUCUGACACUUGCAGACCCACUUCCUGUAAUUCGUUGUAUUAAUCAGUGAAGCUAUCCUGCAACAGUUAAUCAAUGAUGUCAACACUUCAACGGCUUUGCUCUGUACCAGUAAGGAAUGCCACAAUUGUGGUUUACAUUGAAGAGAUGGUGAUAUAAUGUCAUAAAAUGGUAUAAAGAAAAUUUACCAUUGAGGUUCAGCUUUUGAUUCACAUAAUAUGAAAUGUUAGAUUAGAUGGUCCUCUAGCAGCAAAGAUGAUGAUCAUGACUGGCUAAUUCAAACUCUGUUCCUUUUGCAGUAUAGGACCUCAAUCAGCGAAAAGGAAACAAAGGGUGAACUUCAGAUCUUUCCCAACAUCCAUCUUCCACGAGUAUGAGUUUUUUUUUUUUUAAAGACUUCAAAGACCAGCCUAGAACGUCCUCAGAUGAGUGAUCUUUCUAAACGUGGCCAGGCUCAACUAGUCUCGGCUCAACCCUGCCUGACCUCACAUGCCUUUUCACACCAGUUGUCAGCGCACAUGCAUACGCCCUGCCAGCUUGCUAACAGUGUGUAUUCAUGUGUGCCAUAUUGAUUUAGAUGCGACAAGAGCUAAAUCCUCUCCAUCCCUUUCAUGGGUCAGGGAUGCCUCUCAUCCAUGACCCUGAGAAUUUGUCAUCUAUGCUGCAGCUUCUACUCCCAACCAGUUUGUCAUUUAGUUAAGGAAAUAUAAGUGGUCACGCUCAGUUUGUGCCCUGUAAUCUUAUCUCGAAGAGGCCUGUGUUUAAAGAAAAACUUUAGGAGCUGUGACGGACCCACCCAGACACCUCCUGUCUCAGAUGUUCUGGUUACAGUAAAGGUGUAAUUAUGAAGCA